rnacentral:rRNA from 1 species
GACGAACCGUGCGAACGUUAUUCGGAUUCACUGGGCUUAAAGGGCGCGUAGGCGGCGACUCAAGUCUGGGGUGAAAUCCUUCGGCUCAACCGGAGAAGUGCCUUGGAUACUGGGUCGCUCGAGGGGGAUAGGGGCAUGCGGAACUUCCGGUGGAGCGGUGAAAUGCGUAGAUAUCGGAAGGAACGCCGGUGGCGAAAGCGGCAUGCGUGGGUCCCUUCUGACGCUGAGGCGCGAAAGCCAGGGGAGCAAACGGG